rfam:Myotis lucifugus cont2.16981, whole genome shotgun sequence.
AUUGCUUCUCAGCCUUAAGGCUAAGAUCAAGUGUAGUAUCUGUUCUUAUCAGUUUAAUAUCUGAUGCGUCCUCUAUCUGAGGACAAUAUAUUAAACUAGAGGCCUGAUGCAUGAAAUUCGU